GUAGGGGGCAAGCGUUGUCCGGAUUUACUGGGCGUAAAGAGCGUGUAGGCGGCCAAGCAGGUCCGUUGUGAAAACUGGAGGCUUAACCUCCAGACGUCGACGGAAACCGCGUGGCUAGAGUCCGGAAGAGGAGAGUGGAAUUCCUGGUGUAGCGGUGAAAUGCGCAGAUAUCAGGAAGAACACCAAUGGCGAAGGCAGCUCUCUGGGACGGUACUGACGCUGAGACGCGAAAGCGUGGGGAGCGAACAGGAUUAGAUACCCUGGUAGUCCACGCCGUAAACGAUGGGUGCUAGGUGCCUGGGGGAGCGACCCUCCGGGUGCCGGCGCUAACGCAUUAAGUGCCCCGCCUGGGGAGUACGGCCGCAAGGCUG
rnacentral:rRNA from 1 species